rnacentral:tRNA from 1 species
GCCGACCUAGCUCAGUGGUAGAGCACGUGGCUUUUGAGCGCGUGGCUUUUAACCACGUGGCCGUGGGUUCGAUCCCCACGGUCGGCG